rnacentral:rRNA from 1 species
GACAGAGGGUGCAAACGUUGUUCGGAUUUACUGGGCGUAAAGCGCGUGUAGGCGGCUUGGCAAGUUGAAUGUGAAAGCCCACGGCUCAACCGUGGAAGCGCAUCCAAAACUGCUUCGCUGGAGUCUCGGAGAGGAAGGUGGAAUGCUUGGGUGUAGAGGUGAAAUUCGUAGAUAUCAAGCAGAACACCUGCGGCGAAGGCGGCCUUCUGGACGAUGACUGACGCUGAGACGCGAAAGCGUGGGGAGCAAACAGG